UACGGAGGGGGCUAGCGUUAUUCGGAAUUACUGGGCGUAAAGCGCACGUAGGCGGCUUUGUAAGUUAGAGGUGAAAGCCUGGAGCUCAACUCCAGAAUUGCCUUUAAGACUGCAUCGCUUGAAUCCAGGAGAGGUGAGUGGAAUUCCGAGUGUAGAGGUGAGAUUCGUAGAUAUUCGGAAGAACACCAGUGGCGAAGGCGGCUCACUGGACUGGUAUUGACGCUGAGGUGCGAAAGCGUGGGGAGCAAACAGG
rnacentral:rRNA from 1 species